GACGAACGCUGGCGGCGUGCCUAAUACAUGCAAGUCUAACGCAGUGGGGACGGGUGAGUAACACGUGGGUAACCUCCCAUCAGAGGGGAUAACCCUUGGACACAGGUGCUAAACCGAUAUUGCUGUAUUGACCCGAGGGGCAUUAGCUAGUUGGUGAGGUAACGGCUAACCAGGGCCACGAUGCAUAGCCGACCUGAGAGGGUGAUCGUCCACCCUGGGACUGAGACACGGCCCAGACUCCUACGGAAGGCAGCAGUAGGGAAUCGUCGUGAAUGGACGAAAGUCUUACCGAGCAACGCCGCGUGAGUGAAGAAGGUUUUCGGAUCGUAAAACUCUGUUGUUAGAGAAGCGGUAUCUAACCAGAAAGCCACGGCUAACUACGUGCCAGCAGCCGCGGUAAUUC
rnacentral:rRNA from 1 species